rnacentral:rRNA from 1 species
GGACUACACGGGUAUCUAAUCCUGUUCGCUCCCCUAGCUUUCGCACCUGAGCGUCAGUUACCAGCCAGGACACUGCCUUCGCCUUUGGUAUUCCUCCGGAUAUCUACGCAUUUCACCACUCCACCCGGAAUUCUAUGUCCCUCUCUGGUCCUCAAGUCUCGCAGUCUUCAGAGGCCUUGCCCAGUUGAGCCGGGCACUGUCACUCCAAACUUACCAGACCGCCUGCGUGCGCUUUACGCCCAGUAACUCCGGACAACGCUCGCCCCCUACGUAUUACCGCGGCUGCUGGCAC